rnacentral:rRNA from 1 species
AUUGAACGCUAGCGGGAUGCUUUACACAUGCAAGUCGAACGGCAGCGCGGACUUCGGUCUGGCGGCGAGUGGCGAACGGGUGAGUAAUGUAUCGGAACGUGCCCAGUAGCGGGGGAUAACUACGCGAAAGCGUAGCUAAUACCGCAUACGCCCUACGGGGGAAAGCAGGGGAUCGUAAGACCUUGUACUAUUGGAGCGGCCGAUAUCGGAUUAGCUAGUUGGUGAGGUAACGGCUCACCAAGGCGACGAUCCGUAGCUGGUUUGAGAGGACGACCAGCCACACUGGGACUGAGACACGGCCCAGACUCCUACGGGAGGCAGCAGUGGGGAAUUUUGGACAAUGGGGGCAACCCUGAUCCAGCCAUCCCGCGUGUGCGAUGAAGGCCUUCGGGUUGUAAAGCACUUUUGGCAGGAAAGAAACGUCGCGGGCUAAUACCCCGUGGAACUGACGGUACCUGCAGAAUAAGCACCGGCUAACUACGUG